UCCGGCUUAUCACCGGCAGUCUCCCUAGAGUGCCCAACUUAAUGAUGGCAACUAGGGACGAGGGUUGCGCUCGUUGCGGGACUUAACCCAACAUCUCACGACACGAGCUGACGACAACCAUGCACCACCUGUAUACCGACCUUGCGGGGAGAACAUUUCUGAACUUUUCCGGUAUACGUCAAGCCUUGGUAAGGUUCUUCGCGUUGCAUCGAAUUAAUCCGCAUGCUCCGCCGCUUGUGCGGGCCCCCGUCAAUUCCUUUGAGUUUUAGCCUUGCGGCCGUACUCCCCAGGCGGGGAACUUAAUGCGUUAGCUGCGACACAGAAACCGUGGAAUGGCCCCCACACCUAGCGCCCAACGUUUACGGCGUGGACUAC
rnacentral:misc_RNA from 1 species